AGUGAACGCUGGCGGCGUGCUUAACACAUGCAAGUCGAACGAGAACGGAUUAUAGCUUGCUAUAAUUGUCAGCUAAGUGGCGCACGGGUGAGUAAUGUAUAGGUAAUAUGCCUCUUACUAAGGGGUAACAAAUGGAAACGUUCGCUAAUACCUUAUACUCCUUAUUAACAUAAGUUAAUAAGGGAAAGAUUUAUUGGUAAGAGAUUAGCCUGUAUUGUAUCAGUUAGUUGGUGGGGUAAUGGCUUACCAAGACUAUGACACAUAACUGGUUUGAGAGGAUGAUCAGUCACACUGGAAAUGAGACACGGUCCAGACUCCUACGGGAGGCAGCAGUGGGGAAUAUUGCACAAUGGACGAAAGUCUGAUGCAGCAACGCCGCGUGGAGGAUGACACAUUUCGGUGCGUAAACUCCUUUUAUAUGAGAAGAUAAUGACGGUAUUAUAUGAAUAAGCACCGGCUAACUCCGUGCCAGCCGCCGCAGUAA
rnacentral:rRNA from 1 species